rnacentral:rRNA from 1 species
UUCCGUAGGGUGAACCUGCGGAAGGAUCAUUACCUAGAGUUGUAGGCUUUGCCUGCUAUCUCUUACCCAUGUCUUUUGAGUACCUUACGUUUCCUCGGCGGGUCCGCCCGCCGAUUGGACAAUUUAAACCAUUUGCAGUUGCAAUCAGCGUCUGAAAAAACUUAAUAGUUACAACUUUCAACAACGGAUCUCUUGGUUCUGGCAUCGAUGAAGAACGCAGCGAAAUGCGAUAAGUAGUGUGAAUUGCAGAAUUCAGUGAAUCAUCGAAUCUUUGAACGCACAUUGCGCCCCUUGGUAUUCCAUGGGGCAUGCCUGUUCGAGCGUCAUUUGUACCUUCAAGCUCUGCUUGGUGUUGGGUGUUUGUCUCGCCUCUGCGUGUAGACUCGCCUCAAAACAAUUGGCAGCCGGCGUAUUGAUUUCGGAGCGCAGUACAUCUCGCGCUUUGCACUCAUAACGACGACGUCCAAAAGUACAUUUUUACACUCUUGACCUCGGAUCAGGUAGGGAUACCCGCUGAACUUAAGCAUAUCAAUAAGCGGGAGGAA